rnacentral:rRNA from 1 species
UCGGGAAUUUUGGGCAAUGGGCGAAAGCCUGACCCAGCAACGCCGCGUGAAGGAUGAAGUCUUUCGGGAUGUAAACUUCGUAAGAAUAGGAAGAAUAAAUGACGGUACUAUUUGUAAGGUCCGGCUAACUACGUGCCAGCAGCCGCGGUAAUACGUAGGGACCAAGCGUUGUUCGGAUUUACUGGGCGUAAAGGGCGCGUAGGCGGCGUGUCAAGUCAAUUGUGAAAUCUCCGAGCUUAACUCGGAACGGUCAAUUGAUACUGAUGUGCUAGAGUGCAGAAGGGGCAAUCGGAAUUCUUGGUGUAGCGGUGAAAUGCGUAGAUAUCAAGAGGAACACCUGAGGUGAAGACGGGUUGCUGGGCUGACACUGACGCUGAGGCGCGAAAGCUAGGGUAGCAAACGGGAUUAGAUACCCCGGUAGUCCUAGCCCUAAACGAUGAAUACUUGGUGUCUGGAGUUUUAAUUCUCCGGGUGCCGUCGCUAACGUUUUUAGUAUUCCGCCUGGGGAGUACGCACGCAAGUGUGAAACUCAAAGGAAUUGACGG